UUCGUAGGCGGUCAGAUUAGUCAGAGGUGAAAUCUAACGGCUCAACCGUUAAAUUGCCUUUGAAACUGUCUGACUUGAGUACGUGAGAGGAAAGCGGAAUUCUUGGUGUAGCGGUGAAAUGCGUGGAUAUCAAGAGGAACACCCGUGGCGAAAGCGGCUUUCUGGCACGAUACUGACGCUGAGGAACGAAAGCCAGGGGAGCAAACAGGAUUAGAUACCCUGGUAGUCC
rnacentral:rRNA from 1 species